rnacentral:rRNA from 1 species
UGAGCAAUCUGCCCUUCUCUUCGGAAUAAGCGUUGGAAACGACGUCUAAUGCCGAAUACGACCUCCUUUCGCAUGAUCGGAGGUGGAAAGCUCCGGCGGAGAAGGAUGAGCUCGCGGCCUAUCAGCUAGUUGGUGUGGGUAACGGCCCACCAAGGCGACAACGGGUAGCCGGCCUGAGAGGGUGACCGGCCACACUGGGACUGAGACACGGCCCAGACUCCUACGGGAGCAGCAGG